rnacentral:rRNA from 4 species
CCUGGCGGCCGUAGCGCGGUGGUCCCACCUGACCCCAUGCCGAACUCAGAAGUGAAACGCCGUAGCGC